CCCUCUCCUCCUCCCGUCCCCGGCCCCCUCCCGGCCCCAACCUUCCCGCCUCGCUGCCUCACCUGCACCCGUCGCCUCCUCCUCUCCCCUCCCCCGCACGCCGGCUGCCCGCGCCUCCGCGACUCGCCGCCGGCACCGGUGGAGGAGGCCGCCGCCGCGGCCGUGGAGGAGUACGAGGCGCCUCCGCUCAGGCUCCUCGACCCACCGCAGGAGGACGAGCCCUACCCGGACGAGAUGGAGGCGGCGGACCCCGACUUCUAUCGGAUCGGGUACGCCCGGAUGAUGCGCGCCUACGGGGUCGAGUUCCUCGAGGGCCCCGACGGCAUGGGCGUCUACGCCUCCCGGGAUGUCGACCCGCUCCGCCGAGCCAGGGUGAGCCGCUGA
rnacentral:rRNA from 1 species